ACACGUGGCAACUUUUUAGAUGAAUGAAUUGUUGAUUUUGGCGGGGGUUUGGUAUUGAGAAUGAGUUCGUAUAUGGGUCUAUACAUACCCGAAUUCCUCUUGAUUCGGAUCCAUUAGAAACAAAAGAACCCCUUAUCCCUCUUUUGCAGAAACCCUAGCGUCAAAAUCUCUCAGCCAAUCUCUCAGCCAAUUCCUUCUUCUUCCCUUCAAUGCACAGCGAUCUACAAGAUGAUAAAGGCGUUUGGUUUAUGAUGUGCUUUUGAAGCAGGCAACUUUAGUUAAAGAUCAAGUUAUUGAGAAGUGAAGAAGUUUGUUCAGAGUAUGCCAAGACACUCUAUUUAGAUGAUGUUGCUUCAGUUGCACUCAUUCCAACUCCAGUUUCAGUUUCAACAAAUCCAAAGUGGCUACUGAACUCGCAUUAAAAUACAUUACACUUAGACCUUUCAGUUGGGAUCAAGAUACUGACAAAGUCAAUGUGAGGGUGUAUUUUUGUGUUAAUUGUCUACCAGUUGUAAGUUUAUAACUAUAUAUUAUUUAUUCUUGCUAGCUUUUAAAUGGAAGGAAAAUUUAUUUACCAGGUACACUUUCUUUUUGUAUCUAGAAGGACCAUUUUCAUUCUUCAUCGUUUUAUGCCUUUUAAUGGGUGAAUGCUUUUGUUACCCACUUAAUUGGUAAUACCAACGGUUCUAGGAACAAAACCAGAAUUACUCUGACAAUUUAUGUGUUCUUUUGAACGAAGAUAGAAUCUUGAUUAUAAAAAAGAACUCCAAAUCUAAUGAAUCUGUUUGGUUUCUUGAGGUAAUAGUAUUCACAUUUAUUGAUCUUGAAAUGAUAGCGUUCGUUAGGUUUUAUUAGGUGGACACACAAUUUAGACGAGACCAAAAAAGUUUGAAACAAAAGUUGUUGCUUGGAGUGAGGGGUUAUUGGUAAUGCUGAGCGGCCCAUAGUAAUUAGUAGCCCGUGUAUGUCGGGUUUGUAAUAUGUCAAAAACGUUUUGUCAAGUGAUGGUUUGAUUUGAAUUCACUAAAUUUUAUGGUUUGCAAGUAUAUCAUGAAGAUAUGAAGAUGUUUUGAUGAUGA